UGAUGAUGAUGAUUGUCAUGAUGAUGAUUGUCAUGAUGAUGAUUGUCAUGAUGAUGAUGAUUGUCAUGAUGAUGAUUGUCAUGAUGAUGAUGAUUG